UAAGGUUACGGCUCUUUUAGAAUUUGUCUGACAGGUUUUCCUGUCUUCACUGGAACUCCCCA
ensembl:snRNA U7 U7 small nuclear RNA